AAGUGCAGGUGGUUGACCCUGGAGGAAUUCAAGCAGAGCAUGAUUUUUGCUGCAUGGAGAAGGAAGUUUGGUUUGGAUUUACAAGUCUCAGGAGAAAGGUAAAUGCAUUUUCCUGGGCCUCUGUUGAAGCAGCCAGGUGCCACUUCCUGGAGCUGUUGCUGGUCCCUAACAUAGCCACAGAGAGCAUCAGGAUACAGGACACCGAAGGACCUCACUGUUCCAGAGGAUGCAGCAGAAAAUACGUCAAACCCAUGCCAGGACAGGAAGAGGCACUGCCACCUAUAGGCAACCAACUCUGUUCCAGUCUCAGACCACCCCAGUGAUGAGACCACCGUCUGUCCCGUGGCUGCCAUCCCCUGGCAAACAGGGAAGAAGAGAAUAAUGAGAUAAUGCAUGCAGAGCACUGGCCAGAAGCCUUGCCUUAGAGGAAGCACUCACUGAGAAUUUGCCCUGUAUGUUUAUUGGUGAUUAUGACUAAUUCCUGUCAAUGACGCAGGGCAGACCCAACACUGUAUACAAAUGGACACACC